rnacentral:rRNA from 1 species
UACAGAGGGUGCAAGCGUUAAUCGGAAUUACUGGGCGUAAAGCGUGCGUAGACGGUUAUUUAAGUCAGGUGUGAAAGCCCCGGGCUCAACCUGGGAAUUGCAUUUGAGACUGAAUAGCUAGGGUGCGGAAGAGGGAAGCGGAAUUUCCGGUGUAGCGGUGAAAUGCGUAGAGAUCGGGAGGAACAUCAGUUGCGAAGGCGGCUCUCUGGACCAGCACUGACACUGAGGCACGAAAGCGUGGGGAGCAAACAGG